rnacentral:rRNA from 1 species
UACGUAGGGUGCAAGCGUUAAUCGGAAUUACUGGGCGUAAAGCGUGCGCAGGCGGUUCUAUAAGGCAGAUGUGAAAUCCCCGGGCUCAACCUGGGAACUGCAUUUGUGACUGUAGAGCUGGAGUACGGCAGAGGGGGAUGGAAUUCCGCGUGUAGCAGUGAAAUGCGUAGAUAUGCGGAGGAACACCGAUGGCGAAGGCAAUCCCCUGGGCCUGUACUGACGCUCAUGCACGAAAGCGUGGGGAGCAAACAGG